rnacentral:sRNA from 1 species
GGAAACGCAGUUCCGGUUAGGCGGCUGAGUUUGUUUACGUUGCUUACAGAUCUAGCCCCUGCUUUCCCUAGUUCCAGUUCCAAGAUGGGGAAAUCCUUCGCCAACUUCAUGUGCAAGAAAGACUUUCAUCCUGCCUCCAAAUCCAAUAUCAAAAAAGUAUGGAUGGCAGAACAGAAAAUAUCAUAUGAUAAGAAGAAACAAGAAGAAUUGAUGCAGCAAUAUCUUAAAGAACAAGAAUCAUAUGAUAAUAGAUUGCUUAUGGGAGAUGAACGUGUAAAGAAUGGCCUUAAUUUCAUGUAUGAAGCCCCACCAGGAGCUAAAAAAGAAAACAAAGAGAAAGAAGAAACAGAAGGAGAGACCGAAUACAAAUUUGAAUGGCAGAAAGGAGCCCCACGAGAAAAAUAUGCCAAAGAUGACAUGAACAUCAGAGAUCAGCCCUUUGGUAUUCAGGUUCGAAAUGUGAGGUGCAUUAAAUGUCACAAAUGGGGUCAUGUCAACACAGAUCGAGAAUGUCCUUUGUUUGGUCUUUCUGGAAUCAAUGCAAGUUCGGUUCCCACUGAUGGCUCAGGUAGGCACUAGACAUGAUUUUUUUCGGGAGAGGACAAACAAGGAAAGAUAAAACAACAUUUUUCUUUACUCUUUCUGGGUAUUGUUUUAUUUGGGUUUGUGUGUGUGGCUUGUUUGUUUGUUUUUGACUAAGACCAUUCCCAAAAUAUGAUUAAUGGGAAAGUCUGAUCAUAUAUGUUGAAUUAAAAUGCUGUGUAACAGGAUUAAGUUUAAUUUUUCCAGCCAAAGGCCCUAUGA